rnacentral:misc_RNA from 1 species
AGGAAGUAAAAGUCGUAACAAGGUCUCCGUUGGUGAACCAGCGGAGGGAUCAUUACCGAGUUUACAACUCCCAAACCCCUGUGAACAUACCUUAAUGUUGCCUCGGCGGAUCAGCCCGCUCCCCGUAAAACGGGACGGCCCGCCAGAGGACCCAAACUCUAAUGUUUCUUAUUGUAACUUCUGAGUAAAACAAACAAAUAAAUCAAAACUUUCAACAACGGAUCUCUUGGUUCUGGCAUCGAUGAAGAACGCAGCAAAAUGCGAUAAGUAAUGUGAAUUGCAGAAUUCAGUGAAUCAUCGAAUCUUUGAACGCACAUUGCGCCCGCUGGUAUUCCGGCGGGCAUGCCUGUUCGAGCGUCAUUUCAACCCUCAAGCCCCCGGGUUUGGUGUUGGGGAUCGGCUCUGCCUCACGGCGGUGCCGCCCCCGAAAUACAUUGGCGGUCUCGCUGCAGCCUCCAUUGCGUAGUAGCUAACACCUCGCAACUGGAACGCGGCGCGGCCAUGCCGUAAAAC